AUGGUUUUUAAAACUAACUUUUAUUGUCAAAGAUAUACAAUUUCUAUAAAAAAUUUUAAAUACUUCUUAACAACAUAUUUGUUUUUAAGAAAAUCAAAUCUAACAAUCUAAUAUAUAUAUAUGAUGUAAAUAUAAUUAUAUAUUUCAGAGUUUUAUGAUAUUUUAAUAAUACACAGGUUGGUUUGCGAAACUCAUAAUCAUAUGGUAGUAUGGGUCAUGAUUUAUAUUUACGAAUUUAAUUUUCACGGGUUAGUCCAUCAAAUAUAUAUGAUGUAUUUUUAAUAAUGUAAUUUUAUUAAAUAAUUUUCUACAGUUAUACCAAACUCGUGCUGUAGUAGAAGUAUUAAAAUACAAUCAUGCAUGUACGUGUGGGUCCAUCACUAAUUUAGUUCACAUUUGAUCCGGAUCCACCGUUACUAAAAAUACGAAUUUCUUAGUGAAACUAUUAUUAUUUCAAUCAAAC
rnacentral:lncRNA from 1 species